rnacentral:rRNA from 1 species
UACAGAGGUCCCAAGCGUUGUUCGGAUUCACUGGGCGUAAAGGGUGCGCAGGUGGGUUGGCAAGUUUGAUGUGAAAGCCCCGGGCUUAACCCGGGAAUGGCAUUGAAUACUGUCGAUCUGGAGGAUUGGAGGGGGGACUGGAAUUCUUGGUGUAGCAGUGAAAUGCGUAGAUAUCAAGAGGAACACCAGUGGCGAAGGCGAGUCCCUGGACAAUUCCUGACACUGAGGCACGAAAGCUAGGGGAGCAAACAGG